rnacentral:rRNA from 1 species
GACGAACGCUGGCGGCGUGCUUAACACAUGCAAGUCGAACGGAAAGGCCCUGCUUUUGUGGUGUGCUCGAGUUGCGAACGGGUGAGUAACUCGUAAGUAACCUGCCCUUGACUUUGGGAUAACUUCAGGAAACUGGGGCUAAUACCGGAUAGGAGCUCCUGCUGCAUGGUGGGGGUUGGAAAGUUUCGGCGGUUGGGGAUGGACGCGCGGCUUAUCAGCUUGUUGGUGGGGUAGUGGAUUACCAAGGCUUUGACGGGUAGCCGGCCUGGGAGGGUGACCGGCCCCAUUGGGACUGAGGUACGGGCCAGAGUGCUACGGGAGGCAGCGGUGGGGAAUAUUGCACGAUGGGCGGAAGCAUGAUGCAGCGACGCCGCGUGCGAGAUGACGGCCUUCGGGUUGUAAACCGCUUUCGCCUGUGACGAAGCGUGAGUGACGGUAAUGGAUAAGGAAGCACCGGCUAACUACGUG